UACGAGGGGGGCGAGCGUGGUUCGGAAUUAUUGGGCGUAAAGGGUGCGUAGGCGGCCUGACAAGUCUGAUGUGAAAUCCCUGGGCUCAACCCAGGGCCUGCAUCGGAAACUGUCGGGCUUGAGUAUGGGAGAGGUGAGUGGAAUUUCCGGUGUAGCGGUGAAAUGCGUAGAUAUCGGAAGGAACACCUGUGGCGAAAGCGGCUCACUGGACCAUUACUGACGCUGAGGCACGAAAGCUAGGGGAGCAAACAGG
rnacentral:rRNA from 1 species